rnacentral:tRNA from 2 species
GCCGGGAUAGCUCAGUUGGUAGAGCAGGGGAUUGAAAAUCCU